UGCAAGUCGGACGGGAUCCAUCGGUGAGUUUGCUCGAAGAUGGUGAGAGUGGCGCACGGGUGCGUAACGCGUGAGCAACCUACCUUUAUCAGGGGGAUAGCCUCUCGAAAGAGAGAUUAACCCCGCAUAACAUCAACCGUUCGCAUGUUCAGUUGAUUAAAUAUUUAUAGGAUAGAGAUGGGCUCGCGUGACAUUAGCUAGUUGGUAGGGUAACGGCUUACCAAGGCGACGAUGUCUAGGGGCUCUGAGAGGAGAAUCCCCCACACUGGUACUGAGACACGGACCAGACUCCUACGGGAGGCAGCAGUAAGGAAUAUUGGUCAAUGGGCGGAAGCCUGAACCAGCCAUGCCGCGUGCAGGAUGACUGCCCUAUGGGUUGUAAACUGCUUUUGUCCAGGAAUAAACCUCUUUACGAGUAGAGAGCUGAAUGUACUGGAAGAAUAAGGAUCGGCUAACUCCGUGCCAGCAGCCGCGGUAAUACGGAGGAUCCGAGCGUUAUCCGGAUUUAUUGGGUUUAAAGGGUGGGUAGGCGGCCUAUUAAGUCAGGGGUGAAAUACGGUGGCUCAACCAUCGCAGUGCCUUUGAUACUGAUGGGCUUGAAUCCAUUUGAAGUGGGCGGAAUAAGACAAGUAGCGGUGAAAUGCAUAGAUAUGUCUUAGAACUCCGAUUGCGAAGGCAGCUCACUUAGCUGGUAUUGACGCUGAUGCACGAAAGCGUGGGGAUCGAACAGGAUUAGAUACCCUGGUAGUCCACGCCCUAAACGAUGAUAACUCGAUGUUGGCGAUAGACAGCCAGCGUCCAAGCGAAAGCGUUAAGUUAUCCACCUGGGGAGUACGCCCGCAAGGGUGAAACUCAAAGGAAUUGACGGGGGCCCGCACAAGCGGAGGAGCAUGUGGUUUAAUUCGAUGAUACGCGAGGAACCUUACCCGGGCUUGAAAGUUAGUGAAGAGUGCAGAGACGCACUCGUCCUUCGGGACACGAAACUAGGUGCUGCAUGGCUGUCGUCAGCUCGUGCCGUGAGGUGUUGGGUUAAGUCCCGCAACGAGCGCAACCCCUAUGUUUAGUUGCCAGCAUGUAAUGGUGGGGACUCUAAACAGACUGCCUGUGCAAACAGAGAGGAAGGUGGGGACGACGUCAAGUCAUCAUGGCCCUUACGUCCGGGGCUACACACGUGCUACAAUGGAUGGUACAGCGGGCAGCUACAUAGCAAUAUGAUGCUAAUCUCUAAAAGCCAUUCACAGUUCGGAUUGGGGUCUGCCACUCGACCCCAUGAAGUUGGAUUCGCUAGUAAUCGCGUAUCAGCAAUGACGCGGUGAAUACGUUCCCGGGCCUUGUACACACCGCCCGUCAAGCCAUGAAAGUUGGGGGUACCUAAAGCAUGUACCGCAAGGAGCGUGU
rnacentral:rRNA from 1 species